CAGCCGCCGCGGUAAUACCGGCGGCCCGAGUGGCGGUCACUAUUAUUGGGCUUAAAGCGUCCGUAGCCGGGUUGGGAAGGCCUCCGGGAAAUCUGGCCGCUUAACGGUCAGAAUGCCGGAGGAUACUCCCAGCCUAGGGAGCGGGGGAGGCCGAGGGGAUUCCCGGAGUAGGGGUGAAAUCCUAUAAUCCCGGGAGGACCACCUGUGGCGAAGGCGCUCGGCUGGAACGCGUCCGACGGUGAGGGACGAAGGCCAGGGGAGCAAACCGGAUUAGAUACCCGGGUAGUCCUGGCUGUAAACGAUGCGGACUUUGUGUCGGACAAGCUAUGAGCUUGUCCGGUGCCGGAGGGAAACCGUUAAGUCCGCCGCCUGGGGAGUACGGCCGCAAGGCUGAAACUUAAAGGAAUUGGCGGG
rnacentral:rRNA from 1 species